rnacentral:tRNA from 1 species
AUUUUCAUAGUUUAAAAAAAAACAUUACACUUUCAUUGUAAAUUUAGGUAUUACCUUGUAAAUA